rnacentral:rRNA from 1 species
UGUGUAGGCUGGUUCCGUAAGUAUGGUGUGAAAUCUCCCGGCGUUAACUGGGAGGGUGCGCUAUAAACUGCGGGACUAGAGUGCGGGAGAGGAAAGUGGAAUUCCUGGUGUAGCGGUGAAAUGCGUAGAUAUCAGGAGGAACACCGGUGGUGUAAACGGCUUUCUGGACCGUAACUGACGCUGAGACACGAAAGCGUGGGUAGCAAACAGGAUUAGAUACCCUGGUAGUCCACGCCCUAAACGAUGCAUAUUUGGUGUGGGCCAUUCAGUUGGUCCGUGCCGGAGCUAACGCGUUAAAUAUGCCGCCUGGGGAGUACAGUCGCAAGGCUGAA